rnacentral:misc_RNA from 1 species
CCAAUAGCGUAUAUUAAAGUUGUUGCAGUUAAAAAGCUCGUAGUUGAAUUUUAGGCCUGGCCGGGCGGUCCGUCUUUGGCGAGUACUGUCUUGUUGUCGGGUCUUCCUUCUGGUGAACCAGUAUGUCCUUUAUUGGGUGUGUUGGGGAGCCAGGACCAUUACCUUGAAAAAAUUAGAGUGUUUAAAGCGGGCUAUUGCUUGAAUAGAUUAGCAUGGAAUAAUAGAAUAGGACGUUGUGGUUCUAUUUUGUUGGUUUCUAGGACAACCGUAAUGAUUAAUAGGGAUAGUUGGGGGCAUUAGUAUUCAAUUGUCAGAGGUGAAAUUCUUGGAUUUAUUGAAGACUAACUAUUGCGAAAGCAUUUGCCAAGGAUGUUUUCAUUAAUCAAGAACGAAAGUUAGGGGAUCGAAGACGAUCAGAUACCGUCGUAGUCUUAACCAUAAACUAUGCCGACUAGGAAUCGGGCGACGUUAUUUUAAUGACUCGCUCGGCGCCUUAUG